CUAAGAAUCUUCCGCAAUGGGGGAAACCCUGACGGAGCGACGCCGCGUGGACGAUGAAGGCCUAGAGGUUGUAAAGUCCUUUUGCAGACGAAGAAUAAGGCAAGGAGUGGAACGCCUUGCUGAUGACGUUAGUCUUGCGAAUAAGCCCCGGCCAAUUACGUGCCAGCAGCCGCGGUAACACGUAUGGGGCGAGCGUUGUUCGGAAUUAUUGGGCGUAAAGGGCGCGUAGGCGGCGCUAAAAGCUUGGUGUGAAAUCCCCCGGCCUAACUGGGGAAUGGCGCUGAGAACUGUAGUGCUUGAGUUCUGGAGGGGAAGCUGGAAUUCCUGGUGUAGGGGUGAAAUCUGUAGAUAUCAGGAAGAACACCGGUGGCGAAGGCGGGCUUCUGGCCAGAAACUGACGCUGAGGCGCGAAAGCGUGGGGAGCGAACAGGAUUAGAUACCCUGGUAGUCCACGCUGUAAACGAUGUGCACUGGGUGUCGGGGCUCUAAUGGGUCUCGGUGCCGUAGUUAACGCGAUAAGUGCACCGCCUGGGGAGUAUGCUCGCAAGGGUG
rnacentral:rRNA from 1 species